UCGGUAUUACGAGUGUGUCUGAGGAUCAUAGCACUGAGCUAUUUCCAGCCAUUACGAAGAUGGAAAAUCUUAUCUCCUUGUCGCUAGAAGCAGAGAAAUACUUACGCGAUUCAUUUCUGCCAGAUUUGGAAUCAUUUUCCCCUCCACCUUCUAUUCAAGAUCUCAGAUUAUAUGGUCGCCUUUUUGAAAUGCCUGUUUGGCUUACCUCCAUGGAAAACCUCACUAUGUUAUAUUUAGGUUAUUCCGACCUCUUAGAGAACCAAGCCCGUACUCUUCAAUUUCUUCCCAAGUUAAAGCUUCUUUAUAUAUGUAAUGCUUAUAAAGUAAGGUGCAUUGGCAAAGAGUUCUGUGAGGCAAGUGGGUUUCCAAAGCUUGAAUUUCUUGAGAUAUCAGAGGAUUUACUAGUGGAGUGGACAGAUAUAGUCAAUGGAGCUUUUCCAAGUCUAAGACGACUUGUAUUCAGCAACUGUUGGAACUUGAGGUUUCUUCCUGAAGGCUUACAGAAUAUUUUUACUCUUGAAGAAUUGGGUUUGUUCGGCGUGCAUGAAGACCUUGGAAGGCGAUUAUUGGGUGAAGAGAAUUACAAGAUCAAGCAUAUUUCAAAAGUCCAUAUUCCGUAAAACUUAAAAGUGAUAUACAGAUCUCGUUAGUAUAAUUAGUAACAACCCCCUUUCUCAAUACUUUACAAAUUUCACUGUUUGAAAUGAAUAUUAUAAAGUCGUCUGUUUGUAAUAUUAUAAAACGACAGAGAUUUUGAAAUUGAUUCUUCUGAAGCAUGAAGGAGUCUGUCAUAAAUUUGUUUGUUUGUUCUUAAUUAAACGACGUUCGUUAUAAGCAGUCGCUAAAUUAUAGCCGGAAUAAAGAAACGGUCGUUACACAUUCGUGUUGCUCGAACGGUGGAGUGAAAAAGCCCACAAGAUGGCCUAAUACCAAUAAAGCAUUAACUCAUCAAGCUAAGCCCAAGUGAAAGAAAGGCCCAUUUCAAAUUUCGCAGGCCAUUGGAGGAAUAAAACUCUGAAAAUAAAUGUCAAAAAAAAAACUCUAUUAAUUAAAUCAAAUUGUAAAAAUUUUGGUUCUAUUUAUAAAAUUUGAAGGCUAUGGUUCAAAGAUAUAUAUAUGCUAGAGAGAAACCUAAAUCACUUUUAGGUCAUGCCCUGAUUAAUAGAGUGAUAAUGCAUAAUUUAGGUUGGGUUAGUGGAUGGUGCAUGGCACGUUAGAAUUGCAUAGAAAAAGUAAUCCAGUUCUGCCCACAUACAGGAAAAGGUUAUCCAUUUGUGAAGAAAUAUAUGUUAAACGGUAUAACUGUAUCUAAACUAACUUUUGAGACAAGCAUGAACAAAAAGGAUACCAAAACCAGCCAACUUUUUCAGUUUUUUUAAUUAUUAACAAGUAGACCAGCCUAGCAGCAGAAUUUUAUUAAUGAAAUAUAUUACUGCGUUUAAUUCAUAUGCUAAUAUAUAUUAAUGGGAUUCUCACUUUUGACAGGAGAUGACUGUAUUUCCAUACAAACUGGUUGCUUCAAUAUCCAUGUCCAUCAUAUUAACUGCGGUCCAGGACAUGGCAUCAGGUAAUUUUCUUUUUUCUAUUUUUUUUAAAGAAAAAAUUAUCCAAAUUAUAUAAAUAUAUAUAUACAAAUUAACUGAUUAUAAUAAUAACACUAUAUUAUUUUGCUUCUCUUACAAUCACAGUGUAGGAGGACUUGGAAAGGAUAAAAGUGUUGCAUGUGUCUCUAACAUUGUUGUGGAAAAGAUCACACUGCACAAUACCCUAGCCGGAGCUAGAAUAAAAACAUGGCAGGUACCUAAAAUUUAAUUUAAAUACAUUAUUUAAUACUGAAGAAAAAUUAAUUAUACGCAAUUUUUUGUUAUAUUAUAAAUUAUUAAAAGAAAUAUUUCUGCAUGUUUCAGGGAGGAAUUUAAUAUACUUUUUCUUUCUUUCUUUCUUCUUUUUCUUUUUUUAUUUCUCUUUUUCCAGCUCGAAUGUUUUCUGUUAGAUGCUUCCCUUCUGCAAUCUUUUUAAUGUGGGAAGGUGAUGAUUUGUAAUAGUUAUUUUAAUAAAUAUGAUUAAUUAGCUGCUUUUUCUAAAGAACAUUUUCGGUUUAAUUUCAGUAUGCGUAAGCUGAUUUGGAAAUUCUUUUGACUGAAAGUAGAAGUAUAUGAAUAUUUUUAUAUUUUCUUGCACAUACUAGCUAGAUUCCAUAUUCUUUAGCCAUUAAUGUAAUUAAGUUAUGGUAAAAUAAUGAAAGAUAACAGCAAAAUCCAAAGAAUAGUAGAUGUUUUUUGUAAAUGUAGAUUCCAUAUUCUUUAGGAAACAAACUAAAGUUAUACUAACUCCUAGGCAAUUUGCACAAAAAGUUCUGUUAUUUUAUGAUUAAUCAGCAAAAGAUCCCUCUCCCUAGUCAUUCUACUAAUUAUUAUAUUUACAUUGCAUCUUGACUGACUCUAGAAUAUCUUGUACGUGUGUGUGCGUGAGAGAGAGAGAGAGAGAGGGAGAGGAGAAGAAGAGGAAAAGAGAAAGCUCAAACUAGGAGAGUGGCAAGCCAUAAGUAGGGUUGUGGGGGGCACAAACCUUCAUCCCCAGCUGAAAAAAAAAAAAAAGGGAAAAAAAAAAAAAAAGUUCUCAAUGUUUAACUUAUUUCAAUGUUGUAUGGUCAAACUAUGCAGACAGAAUACAUAAAAGGGAACAAAAAGAACUAAAUAUAUUAAGCAAACUGCAGAACUAGAUUGCUUUUUAGCGAAAGAAUAAAGGAGCUGCUGUAAGCAUAUUUAAUCAUAUAAACCUUUUGUCCCACUUUCCUUUACUUUUUGGUUUAAAAACGACUGGACUUGGUUGCAACUGCUCUCCGACUCCUUUUAUAUGGCCCCCAUAUAUGUACCUUUUUUGAGGAGUUAGUUGAUGAAGUUUAUGGCGGUGGUGGUGGUUGUGGUCGUGGUUGUUGAAGAACAGUGCGUGCACCGCCCACCAGACCCUUUUGCGCAUGCCCAUCAACAUCUUUCUUUGUAUUUCAAAUAAAAAGGCAACAUAUAAAAAAGCUAAUAUAUAUAUACACCUGCAAUUUUUUUAAUCUCUUUAUAUUAAAGCCGUGCAUGGAUAUUGGGAAUUGUAUAAUUAUAAUUGUGCUAGAAAGGAUUAUAUAAGCUUACACGAAGAUACCUUUAGCAAAUAAUUAUUCAAUUAGAGAAUUCAAUCUAUGUGAUAAUGAAAAAUUGAAAAGCUAACGGACAACCAAGUGGCUAAGUACUCCCGAAGGAAUUGAGGGAUCAAGAAUGUCAUAGAUUUGUUUGAGGCUUGCUCGGUGCAAAAUUUCCACAAGCCAGCUCUUUAUUUGUCUCUCUAAAAGAGCAGAGCAGUCAAAUUAGGUGGACCAUUAGAGGACAGUAUCCCACCUAAGUACUAAAUGCUUAGGAUAAAAUUUUUUAAAAAAAAAAAUUUUUUUUUACAAUUUGUUUGGAAAGGGGAGGAGGGAAAAUAAUAAGGAAAGAAAAAUAAUGAGGAAUGGUUAAUUUUCUUUCUAUAGUUAUUUUCUACCCUUGUGUUUGGAUGUAAAGAAGGAAAGAAAAUAAAAUUUAUUUUCUUUUUUUGUUUAGAAGGAGUAAAAUUUAGAAGAAAUAAAAUGUUGGUAUGUGGAAAUAGACAAUGUUGUUAUUCAUGAAUCAUGAAAGCCUGCAAAUAGAAAUUAACCCAAUCGAAGAGCCCAGCACUUUAAAAUAACAAGCCCAUAUGUUAUGGUACUUGGACUUGGACAAUAUAAGGGCCUAAAAUCCUUUCGGUCAAUUCAAAUUUGCGUAGUUCUUUUAUUUAUUAUUGUUAUUUUGUCCAGCUCCGUGCUGUGACUGUGAUUGGCUAAUUGCCCACCUAACGUUCUGACCCGGUUGCAAAGGAACUUGGUGGGUUGACGGUUGACUUGGGCAUUCGCAUCUUCAUCUACUGCUUUUGAAUUAGAGAAACCCACUCUUAUCCUAGUUUCUAGGUUUUCAAAUUUCAGUUUCUGCAAACACUACAGUUGCUAGCUGUCCAUAACUAUGCCUCAAAUUUACUUCACUCGUAAAUCGCAGAAUCGAACUGAAACGUAUUUCGCGGAGAUGCCAAGAAGAGAGAACAACUUGUCUCCUACAGCACUAAACAGAUUAGGUAAGAGUGGUUCUUCUUCAACUGAUUGCAUUUCAAUAUAUCAAAGUCUUCCUGAUUAUCUCGUGUCCUGUUUAGACUAUUGUGCUAUCGUUACUACUUGGAGACGCUUUCUUAUAGGGAAGGGUAAAAUGGUUCAGCUUUUAUUGGCUGAAUCUCUAAUACCAGAAAAAGGAGGAGAAAUCAUAGAUAACAUAGCAAAUAACAUUAUUGAGGAGUUGAUUGAUCUAGGUUUACUAGUGCUAACAAAAUUGGACUAUGGAUGGGCAGAAUUUAAAGAUUGGAAUAAAAUUAUAGUUCCUGACCCAUUUAGAAUAUUAUGUCUUGUUGAGGUGGAUGAAGUGGAAUUUUUUGCUAAAGCUGCGAAUUUACCUGUUCGGGCUAUAAUAGAACAUGAUCGGAAGCACAUUCCACUUCCUCCUGACUUUGGAACCCUCCAAAUUCGGUCUCUAUUUUUGAUUACAAACAAUGGCUCUGAUUCUCAAGGCCUUUCUCGGGCCUAUAUGGCAACUAUUUGCAAGCUGCAAUAUUUAUUGGUGUUACAUUUUCGCGGCAUCAUAAAGAGAUUAUCUGAAGAAGUGGGUGAUUUGGUUCACCUGAGAUAUCUGUGCUGCGAUUGGUCAUAUCUGGAUGAACUUCCACAGACAUUAGGAAAUCUUCAAAACCUACAAACUUUGGAUAUAAUAUUAAGUAGACAGCUGAAAGAAUUGCCAUUACAAGUCUUGAAUUAUCAACAGUUGAGACACCUCAUGAUAUCCAAGACCAGGGACAAUAUCGGAGUUAGAGUUCCAAGCGGGAUUGGAACUUUCAAAUAUCUUCGUACGUUAGAUGGUGUAUAUGCAGGAGGAGGCAUUCUUGGUGAACUUAGCUCCUUAACCCAAUUGCAACAACUUGAUUUUAGGAGUGUCUGAGGAUCAUAGCACUGAGCUAUUUCCAGCCAUUACGAAGAUGGAAAAUCUUAUCUCCUUGUCGCUACAAGCAGAGGAAUACUUUCCCGAUUCAUUUCUGCCAGAUUUGGGAUCAUUUUCCCCUCCACCUUCUAUUCAAGAUCUCAGAUUAUAUGGUCGCCUUUUUGAAAUGCCUGUUUGGCUUACCUCCAUGGAAAAUCUCACUAUGUUAUUUUUAGGUUAUUCCGACCUCUUAGAGAACCAAGCCCGUACUCUUCAAUUUCUUCCCAAGUUAAAGCUUCU
rnacentral:lncRNA from 1 species